UAAAAAUUAAUCAAAGAAUUGAUCGCAAAUGUACUCAUGCAAAAUAUCAGAAAAGAAGAAGCUAAGCUUACGCUAUGGUUAGACAUUGUACACAGUUUUUCUCUUGUCUCACUGGAAGCAUUGCCCCAACCAAUCGUUGCAGUUUUUACAAGCUUGAGGGUCAAGCUAUUUGCAGGUAUUUAGUUUAAUAAAAAAAUUUAUUCGUUUUGUAUUGGAUAAUUUGGUUUGAUUAGCUUUAAUUUGGUUUUUUCUCCGUGCAACACAGUAUUGGAUAAUUUUAUUUGGUGUUAAAUUGUUUUUCAGAAUAGCUUAAAAUAUACUCUACCUAAAUAGCUAAAAAAAUUUGGUGCAUAAAAAAAAAAAAAAAAUUCUUAUGUUAUGAUAGUGCGUUAGUGCACAGUAUUGUUUAUGUAUGAUAUCCAUUGCUUUUGUUUUAA